GGAUAUAGUUCAUUGGUAGAACAUUUGCCUAGCAUGCACGAGGCACUGGGUUCAAUCCCCAGCACUUCCA
rnacentral:tRNA from 1 species